GGAGAAAAUGGAAGAAUUUGCCCAGAGCUCUGAUGAAGACGGUGUUGUGUUUUCUCUGGAGUCAGCUGUGCAAAACCUUACAGAAGAAAAAGCUGAUCUUAUCACUUCGGCCCUGGCUCAGAUUCCACAAAAAGGUUUUAUGGAGAUUCAAAGGAAAGAAACCAACUACAUUAGGUGCCAAUACUCAGCUCUAUGUUUGGAUAUGCCAGAGUGAUCUUCAUGGUAAGAUUAUGACA
rnacentral:lncRNA from 1 species